rnacentral:miRNA from 1 species
AUCCAAGUCAUAGUUAGUGUAAACAUCCUACACUCAGCUGUAACUUCAAAGUAAAGGCUGGGAGAAGGGUGUUUACUUUGACUAGUUUGGA